AUUGAACGCUGGCGGCAGGCCUAACACAUGCAAGUCGAACGGUAACAGGAAGAAGCUUGCUUCUUUGCUGACGAGUGGCGGACGGGUGAGUAAUGUCUGGGAAACUGCCUGAUGGAGGGGGAUAACUACUGGAAACGGUAGCUAAUACCGCAUAACGUCGCAAGGCCAAAGAGGGGGACCUUCGGGCCUCUUGCCAUCGGAUGUGCCCAGAUGGGAUUAGCUAGUAGGUGGGGUAACGGCUCACCUAGGCGACGAUCCCUAGCUGGUCUGAGAGGAUGACCAGCCACACUGGAACUGAGACACGGUCCAGACUCCUACGGGAGGCAGCAGUGGGGAAUAUUGCACAAUGGGCGCAAGCCUGAUGCAGCCAUGCCGCGUGUAUGUAGAAGGCCUUCGGGUUGUAAAGUACUUUCAGCGGGGAGGAAGGGAGUAAAGUUAAUACCUUUGCUCAUUGACGUUACCCGCAGAAGAAGCACCGGCUAACUCCGUG
rnacentral:rRNA from 1 species